CCACACCGCCCUGCCCGACACAUCGGAUGGGCUUCCCAACGGGCUCAGCAGGAGGACACGUGUCGCUGGCAGCCCGGGUAGCUCAGUGAUGCCUCGUUCCUGUUUCACUCCUGGUGCCCACACAAGCCACCAGGAAAACGCUGGAGCCCUGCGACUGGAUACAAGGUAGCCAGGACACAUGGUGGCUGGUAGAUGCAUGAGCAGCGAGCUGGAUGGGAGUGGAGCAGCCGGGACUCAAACCAGUGACCCUGUGAGAUGCUGGCACUGCAGACGCUGACUUCUAACACAGAGAACAUGAAAGCAGUUGAAACAUGCAGAAAAACAGAAAAGUUGCUUUGAGUUUCUGCAUUUCACAGCCACGGGGCGACUCCGCGUUCCCUGUUGUGGCCUGAAUUGAAAGCAGCUCCUCGAUGGUCCGUGGUGUUGCCCACACCCGCUGCCUCGCUCACCCCACUCACAACGCACCUGCUGUCGGCAGUGACGACGGAAAACAACUUAAACGUCCAGUAAUACUCACCGUCCCAAGUCCCAUUAGACACAAGAUCUUCCAGUGACAUUCAAGCUCUGUAACGCCGCUUAAGAGAAAUGACCACAGAUGGCAAGUUGCUUAUUA